GAUGAACGCUGGCGGCGUGCCUAAUACAUGCAAGUCGAGCGAACAGAUGAGGAGCUUGCUCCUCUGACGUUAGCGGCGGACGGGUGAGUAACACGUGGAUAACCUACCUAUAAGACUGGGAUAACUUCGGGAAACCGGAGCUAAUACCGGAUAAUAUAUUGAACCGGAUGGUUCAAUAGUUAAAGACGGUUUUGCUGUCACUUAUAGAUUGAUCCGCGCAGCAUUCACUAGUUGGUAAGGGAAAGGCUUACCAAGGCGACGAUGCGUAGCCGACCUGAGAGGGAGAACGGCCACACUGGAACUGAGACACGGUCCAGACUCCGACGGGAGGCAGCAGUAGGGAAUCUUCCGCAAUGGGCGAAAGCCUGACGGAGCAACGCCGCGUGAAUGAUGAAGGUCUUCGGAUCGUAAAACUCUGUUAUUAGGAAAGAACAAAUGUGUAAGUAACUAUGCACGUCUUGACGGUACCUAAUCAGAAAGCCACGGCUAACUACGUG
rnacentral:rRNA from 1 species